AGCACAGGUAGCAAUACCGGGUGGCGACCGGCGCACGGGUGAGUAACGCGUAUGCAACUUACCUAUCAGAGGGGGAUAACCCGGCGAAAGUCGGACUAAUACCGCAUGAAGCAGGGGCCCCGCAUGGGGAUAUUUGCUAAAGAUUCAUCGCUGAUAGAUAGGCAUGCGUUCCAUUAGGCAGUUGGCGGGGUAACGGCCCACCAAACCGACGAUGGAUAGGGGUUCUGAGAGGAAGGUCCCCCACAUUGGUACUGAGACACGGACCAAACUCCUACGGGAGGCAGCAGUGAGGAAUAUUGGUCAAUGGGCGUAAGCCUGAACCAGCCAAGUCGCGUGAGGGAUGAAGGUUCUAUGGAUCGUAAACCUCUUUUAUAAGGGAAUAAAGUGCGGGACGUGUCCCGUUUUGUAUGUACCUUAUGAAUAAGGAUCGGCUAACUCCGUGCCAGCAGCCGCGGUAAUACGGAGGAUCCGAGCGUUAUCCGGAUUUAUUGGGUUUAAAGGGUGCGUAGGCGGCCUUUUAAGUCAGCGGUGAAAGUCUGUGGCUCAACCAUAGAAUUGCCGUUGAAACUGGGGGGCUUGAGUAUGUUUGAGGCAGGCGGAAUGCGUGGUGUAGCGGUGAAAUGCUUAGAUAUCACGCAGAACCCCGAUUGCGAAGGCAGCCUGCCAAGCCAUGACUGACGCUGAUGCACGAAAGCGUGGGGAUCAAACAGGAUUAGAUACCCUGGUAGUCCACGCAGUAAACGAUGACCACUAGCUGUUUGCGAUACAGUGUAAGCGGCACAGCGAAAGCGUUAAGUG
rnacentral:rRNA from 1 species